UACGUAGGGUGCAAGCGUUAAUCGGAAUUACUGGGCGUAAAGCGUGCGCAGGCGGUGAUGUAAGACAGAUGUGAAAUCCCCGGGCUCAACCUGGGAACUGCAUUUGUGACUGCAUCGCUGGAGUGCGGCAGAGGGGGAUGGAAUUCCGCGUGUAGCAGUGAAAUGCGUAGAUAUGCGGAGGAACACCGAUGGCGAAGGCAAUCCCCUGGGCCUGCACUGACGCUCAUGCACGAAAGCCAGGGGAGCGAAAGGG
rnacentral:rRNA from 1 species